rnacentral:rRNA from 1 species
CCUACGGGUGACAGCAGUGGGGGAUAUUGGUCAAUGGAGGAAACUCUGAACCAGCAACGCCGCGUGAGUGAUGACGGCCUUCGGGUUGUAAAGCUCUUUUCUCAGGGAUGAAGCAAGUGACGGUACCUUAAAAACAAGCCUCGGCUAACUACGUGCCAGCAGCCGCGGUAAUACGUAGGAGGCAAGCGUUAUCCGGAAUGACUGGGCGUAAAGGGUGCGUAGGCGGUUUCACAAGUCAGGAGCGAAAUACCGGGGCUCAACCCCGGCGCUACGACCGAAACUGUGGGACUUGAGUGAAGGAGGGGCAAGUGGAAUUCCUAGUGUAGCGGUGGAAUGCGCAGAUAUUAGGAGGAACACCAGUGGCGAAGGCGAAUUGCUGGGCUGUAACUGACGCUGAUGCACGAAAGCAUGGGGAGCAAACAGGAUUAGAUACCCGAGUAGUC